GUCAGCAUGGCCGAGCGGUCCAAGGCGCUGCGUUCAGGUCGCAGUCCGGUCUUCCGGGCGUGGGUUCGAAUCCCACUUCCGACA
rnacentral:tRNA from 1 species